rnacentral:miRNA from 1 species
UCAUUGAGAUUCGUGUAAAUUAA